GACGAACGCUGGCGGCGUGCUUAACACAUGCAAGUCGAACGGAAAGGCCCUGCUUUUGUGGGGUGCUCGAGUGGCGAACGGGUGAGUAACACGUGAGUAACCUGCCCUUGACUUUGGGAUAACUUCAGGAAACUGGGGCUAAUACCGGAUAGGAGCUCCUGCUGCAUGGUGGGGGUUGGAAAGUUUCGGCGGUUGGGGAUGGACUCGCGGCUUAUCAGCUUGUUGGUGGGGUAGUGGCUUACCAAGGCUUUGACGGGUAGCCGGCCUGAGAGGGUGACCGGCCACAUUGGGACUGAGAUACGGCCCAGACUCCUACGGGAGGCAGAAGUGGGGAAUAUUGCACAAUGGGCGGAAGCCUGAUGCAGCAAAGCCGCGUGCGGGAUGACGGCCUUCGGGUUGGAAACCGCUUUCGCCUGUGACGAAGCGUGAGUGACGGUAAUGGGUAAAGAAGCACCGGCUAACUACGUG
rnacentral:rRNA from 1 species